CCAUACAAAACUAUGCACAGCAUGUGUUCAUUUAUAAUUAGACGACUAUGACUCUUUUAUAUUUUUGGGGAUCGCCAAGUACUUUAGGUACAUUCAAAAAUUGAAUGUGCAUAUGUUUUUCGAAGAAAUAUAAUCAUCAAGAAUUUGGUGGGCAUAGAAGGUAGUCAAAAAUCCCUUCACCCACGAAUAACCAACCAUAAAAGCCAAAUUCUUUACUAAUGGACUGAUGAAGUCAGUCGCGUGCCCGUCACGUAGGCCACUUAGUGGACCUGUAAACAUUUCGGGGACUUCCUCUGAUUUUAUUGAUUUACAGUGGCCAGGACAGCUGCAAAUUGAGUGCUUAUCGAACAGGUAGAAAGGUCAUCGGGUGGCUGACAGAUUUAUGAUUGCGCUCACGAUGCAACGCAGUAACAACAUUACAUAUAUAAGUAAAAAAAAAGCCUGACCCUGCCGACUGUCAGUAUAUGUCAGGCAGCCAAAUGUUGCAAUGGCCAAAAAAAGGAGAGAGACUUUUUGGCCAAGAAACUUAAGCAACCGGACUGCAAGUUGAAUGCGAUAAAUGUGCAAUCGGAACGUGACUUAGCCGUGGCCAACAAUCACCCAAAAAAACACGAUAAAAACCAACACCGAAACGUACUCAAAUUAAAGUCAAGCGCAGUGCAACCGUCGAGAAGUCGAGGCAACUGCCACUGCUAACUGCAAAUCUUGAGGUUGACCAACUACCCAAAACUAAUUGCCAAGUGAGAACGAAAGAGGGCCCACUGACCAAAAUUAUUAUAUAUAUAUAUGUAUAACCAAAAUGGCUAAGUUAUCACAUUAAUUACGCAAAAGAAAACAAUAAUAAAAUUUAAAAAAAAAUUAAAAAAUAUUAAAAAAUGUAAAUGAAAGAUUAUUGUAAAAGACGAUUACAAUAAAAAUAUUGGCACUUAAUAACACAACUCUUUAGAGAUUUCAGGCCAAGUUUGUUCCCAGUGCAACACCAAAAAAUGGAGCUACCAAGUCGAGGCUUCAAGUAAGGGGUAAUUGAGAGUUGUCUGUGCCACUGGGAACUUCGCUCAGAACAGCUGCAAAAAGUAUGCACCCCGCUCUGUCUUCGGCUCCCAGAAUUCAUUUGUUUUGCUUGCCUUCAAAUUGCAGUUGCUGCUGUCCUUCAGUUGCAACGACGCCCUGUCCAAAAAACAACACAAUUAAAUGAAAUGCGGUUGGUAGACUAUUGUAUACCCUAAUAACAUUAACGCACAGUGAAAGGUUAAAAAAAUAUCAUAUAAAAUUCACUUACUAUAUUGCAGCAGCAAAAAGGUCUCAAAAACCUUAAGAACUAUUCAGAAAAUAGUGUUAUAAAGUAAUAUAAUGCAAUUUGCGUAUUUCUUCGUAGACAAAAACGUUUCUUACAAGUCAUCAGCUUUACUAUCAAAAAGAGUAUGUGGAACGAAAUACGUACAUAAGUAAGUACUCGUUUAUAAAAAAACAGUUUGCACCUCGAAGGUUAAACAUCGAAAACCCCAUACAAGCCCGACGUGGAAAAAGAGAAAAAAGACUUCAUCACUGGCGGAGCGGCCAAGCAUGGGGCUUAAAAAAAGGUGUAAUCCUUCGCCCACUUGCGGUUGCCCUUUGGGCUUUGCUCGGCUCACCUUUGCUGAGAGAUGGAGAUACUGGCAUAUAUCUAUUAGCCAAUCGCCUCGCAUUUGGCAAAUUAUCGUUGUUUAUAAUAUGACAAUAUUGGAUGGCAGCGACAGCGACAUGGACAAGCCUUACAUAAACAAUAAUUAAAUGUAGCCAAAUUAAAUUUUACACAAAAGCAGAACACAAAGUGACAGCUGGGCGGUCCCUUCCACGGCCUCCUGGCCCAUCCAGCGCUCCCUCGUCCUCGACUUG